AUUCACAUCUGGGUUUCUGUUUCUUCCAUCAUACAUCUCCGCCUCCUAUGGUUUCAUUCUUCCAUCAUACGUCUCUCUUCUCCAUCUCUAAUCUUCAUUCAUAUCCUAGGGUUUCUGCAACUUCAUUUGCACCUCUCCAUCUCAUCCAAUCGCAUCCAUGAAGAUCAUGUUCAUCCCCAAGGUCAACCCAAAUCUAUAUUACCAUUCACGCCUCUAUCUUAAUAACUUCCUUUUCUCUAAAAUCCAAUCUUCUGCCCUAAUUCUCUCUACCGUCCUUCCGCCUUACGAAAUAUUCAUCACAAAGCAACAAUUUUCGCAACCGGUCUAACCAUCAAGAAGAUGACAUGAGAGCCUUGGUAGUUGUAUUUGCUGAUAAUUGAGGGUGCUAGAGGUUGCUGAUGGAUUUACACUACAGAAACAGCUUUUAUGGAUCUAAACAUUCAUCCUCAUUAAGAGGACCAUGACGUCACCGAUGGCGUCGAUAAGAAGGAUGAGAUCUUACCUAACUAUGAUUUUCAGCCGAUUGAUUGUCUCAUCUCAGCCGUCCAAUUUUGAUUCCGGUAAUAUCAAUGGAGCUAGGGUUUGGUCAUCAGCUGAAUUCGAGCCUAAUUUUGGCACUCGAGUUACGUAUUACUCCUUUCAAUCGGUGUUGUCUCUGUGCUUUCAGAUCUACAUAGGUUUUUAAGGGUUUCAAUUCCUUCUUUGUGGUAUCCAUUGAUUAAUGGAAGUUCUGUAAGUUAUGUUUAUGGUACGUAUAUAAAAUAGAAUGGCGUGCCUUUUUCAUCUCAAGCACCAACACCCAAGAAACCACAACCGAGGAAACAAGAACAACAUUUGAAUAUUGCUCUCCCAACUACUGUAGCCGCCGAACCAAUGGCUUCAAGAAGUUUGGACCUAUCAAGCCUAAUGGUAUUCAAAUUCUAAACAAUAGGGUAUGUUUCGAUUCAUUUGCCAUUUGUACUUUAUUAUUUUUUUUUACAUCCCCGAUACUAAUGUAGCAACAGGGAUUCUAAUUUGGUUUUGUUGAAUUUGAGGUGCCAAAUGCGGUACAAAAGGCGAUCGAGGUAUGUGCAGUCCUAUUAUAACACACAGUUAUAUUAUACGAAUUUGUUUUGCUUAUAAUAUGAAACUAUCAUUGGGUGCCAACCCCUGAUUCUGCCUGAAAACUUGCCAAAAAAAUUGUCUUUCUUGUGAUGAUUUAUUUAGUUAAAUGUGACAUUGUAUUGUUUAAUGUCCAGAUUUCAAUGAUCACAAUUAAUGGAAAAAAAUGUUGUUGAAGAGAAGCUAUCUACAAUCUCUAAAGGAGUUGCUCUAAAUAUGCAAAAGCACAAUAAGAAUAUUAACCCAUUUAUUUUUUUAACUAUUAAUUUUUUGAAAUCUCUUAUGCUAUUAUGUUAUUUCUUAACAACUGACUUUUUAUAGGAGGAAACCGAGGAAGAUUUGUAGGUGGAAGGGCACCCGGAUUUAGGAAUGAUAUCAUGGUUUGCUAUUAUGUGGUUUGCUUUUUAUUUGCUUAGUUGUUCUAAUAAUUAGUUUUGAACAGACUUGAUAUUGUGGCUGAAUGACUUGGGAUUGAAAAAAAAUAUAUAAAAAAAACUUAGAAAUGGAGAAGAUGAAUGUGGGUGUGCAGUAGGAGCAAGUAGGAUUGGGUUGGAGAUAACAAAAGUAUUAACAGUGAGGCGAGCUCAUGUGAUCAUAGCUGCAAGGAACAUCAAUGCUGCAAAUGAAGCCAAACAUGUGAACCUUAAUAGCAAUGAGAAAGUGACCUUCAAGAGGGUGUUCAGUGUUUGCCGCUGAUGGAACUCUCCAUGUUUUUCAUUUAGUGGUUUUCGUGCUCGCCGGUUAAUUCAGGUUCAGGUCUUUUAUAUUUGGUAAGAUUGGGGUCUCCGGAUUUUGAGGGUUUCUUACUUUGUUAUCUUUAACAUUUUGUCAUUUCAUUUCAUUGAGACAAUAACAUUUUACACAAAUCAUGCCACAGUUUACAGUUUGAUCGCUAGAAAUCAUACCAUGGGUAAGUUGUGUUAUAAAGUUUUUUAGUAUUUAAGGGUUGUUGCUAUUUUAUAACGAUCACAAGUUUGAUAUGAUAUUUGUUUUGUUUCAAAAACUUCAAACCAUGCUAACCCGUUACCCAAUUUAGUUUGUUAGUUGUGCGGUAAGGUGUAAAAUGGUAGCUCUGAUAUGCCACAACUAUGUAUGUUUUCUUGAUCCACAAGUUUCUGUAUGACAAAGGAGCCACAAAUCCAGAGUACAUUGUUACAGCUGAUGAAGUCGAUAAACUUAUUGCUGUCAAACGCAUACCAACGGAUGACCAGAUUUUCAGUAUCUUUGUCAUUGUAGACCCUGUUUAUGAGUCAAUCUGUUUGUUUGUUAAAGUUGGUUAGCGGUUAAAAUCUAUGUUUUUUACAGGUGGCAAAUAACUAUCACAGACCAGAUUUGAAAAAGGCUGCUUUUGCAAGGUUUAGUGCUGUGAACAGGAGCCUUAAGGUUUCAAACUCAGGUGUGAAAAAGAACAGACAAGCUUUGAAGAUUCGUGGUCGGAAAUGAAACCAAACUUAUCAACUGUUGUUAUGGAUGUCGAAUCGAAAGCACCUCCUGAAAUUAUUAUGAUUUUUGAUGAUGAUCCUAUUGACAUUACUAUGGAUGAUGAUCAUCAUGUUAUUAACCAACAAGGGCAAGGUGUCCAUCUGAAGUGGCAAGUUUCAAACCACUUUCUAAGUUUUUUUUCUCUAUUUAUCUUAAUUCAAAAGUAAUUUAAAUUACUUGCUUCAAUUUUUUUAAUCGUUAUUCUUUAA